rnacentral:misc_RNA from 1 species
AACGCACAUUGCGCCCUUUGGUAUUCCUUAGGGCAUGCCUGUUCGAGCGUCAUUACAACCAUCAAGCGCGGCUUGUUGUUGGGCGCCUGUCCCGCCUCCGGCGCGGACUCGCCUCGAAUCGAUUGGCGGCCCCUCCCGGCGGCUCGGAGCGCAGCAGAAUUGCGACUCUACCCGCGGGGACGGCGGCACCCAGAAGCCUUUCCUUCAUAAUCGACCUCGGAUCAGGUAGGGAUACCCGCUGAACUUAA